UNCUUCCUGUGGUGCAAGGGAACUGCUCGG
rnacentral:piRNA from 1 species